AUUGAACGCUGGCGGAAUGCUUUACACAUGCAAGUCGAACGGUAGAGGGGGCAACCCCUCGAGAGUGGCGAACGGGUGAGUAAUAUAUCGGAACGUGCCCAGUCGUGGGGGAUAACGUAGCGAAAGUUACGCUAAUACCGCAUACGAUCUAAGGAUGAAAGCGGGGGACCGCAAGACCUCGCGCGAUUGGAGCGGCCGAUAGCAGAUUAGGUAGGUGGUGGGGUAAAGGCCCACCAAGCCAACGAUCUGUAGCUGGUCUGAGAGGACGACCAGCCACACGGGAACUGAGACACGGUCCAGACUCCUACGGGAGGCAGCAGUGGGGAAUUUUGGACAAUGGACGCAAGUCUGAUCCAGCCAUUCCGCGUGCAGGAUGAAGGCCCUCGGGUUGUAAACUGCUUUUGUACGGAACGAAAAGGUCUCUCUUAAUACGGGGGACUCAUGACGGUACCGUAAGAAUAGGCACCGGCUAACUACGUGCCAGCAGCCGCCGCAG
rnacentral:rRNA from 1 species